CGAACGGGUGAGUAACACGUGGGUAACCUGCCCUGUACUCUGGGAUAAGCCUGGGAAACUAGGUCUAAUACCGGAUAUGACCUGCUACCGCAUGGUGGUGGGUGGAAAGUUCCGGCGGUACAGGAUGGACCCGCGGCCUAUCAGCUUGUUGGUGGGGUAAUGGCCUACCAAGGCGACGACGGGUAGCCGGCCUGAGAGGGUGACCGGCCACACUGGGACUGAGACACGGCCCAGACUCCUACGGGAGGCAGCAGUGGGGAAUAUUGCACAAUGGGCGAAAGCCUGAUGCAGCGACGCCGCGUGAGGGAUGACGGCCUUCGGGUUGUAAACCUCUUUCAGCGGGGACGAAGGGCAACUGACGGUACCCGCAGAAGAAGCACCGGCUAACUACGUGCCAGCAGCCGCGGUAAUACGUAGGGUGCGAGCGUUGUCCGGAAUUAUUGGGCGUAAAGAGCUCGUAGGCGGUUUGUUGCGUCGGCUGUGAAAACUUCACGCUUAACGUGGAGCCUGCAGUCGAUACGGGCAGACUUGAGUUCGGCAGGGGAGACUGGAAUUCCUGGUGUAGCGGUGAAAUGCGCAGAUAUCAGGAGGAACACCGGUGGCGAAGGCGGGUCUCUGGGCCGAUACUGACGCUGAGGAGC
rnacentral:rRNA from 1 species